rnacentral:lncRNA from 1 species
CACAACUCUUUCCAAUAGAUAUUAUCUCCAUUUUAUAGUUGGGAAAAAUGAGACUCGCAGUGGUUAAGUAAUUUGUGCAAAGUCUCAUAGCUGAUAAGUGGAGAAGCUGGAAUUCAAACCAGAUUUGUCAAGCAGUAAAACCUGUGCACUUUCCACUGUCACGUGGCCUCCCAAAUUUUCUGUGGAACUUAGCUCAUCUAUAUAAAAAUUGAUACACCACCAGACAAAAUACUCCUUCAGGGGCUUUAAGAUUGACUUUCUUGGACUCUUUAAAGAUGUGCUUGGCAUUGCUCAUCUAAAAGGAAGACAUGUUCUCAGGACACAAUGCUUCUUCUAUUUCCCCACUGUGGUGUAUAACAAGGAACACUGCUAGAUACACUAAAUACUUAUCUCAGAAAGACACCGUGGGUAAUUCUGCCAUUUUAUUAACUGGGCAGACUGUGGACCCGAGGACUGCCCAUGGGGAUUUACUGAUCAGAUCCGUGCUCCAAUCAAGUCCUCUGUUUCCAUCAAUGACAGAUAAACCUGCAUCCAAGAAACCAGCAAAGACAGCCCUGAAAUACUUUUCUAGAGAACCUUGUCAAGUCUCACUCCUACUCCUAACCAUCCCGUUACUAUUCCCAGCAAGACUACAGACCAGGCUUCCUGAAGAUGCAUUCUCACCAGGCUUCAACCCUUGACAGCAUCCAGAUUUGCUGUGGCCCCAUGCUCUGCAGCCUGCAAACUGUGUCAUCCAGCCAACGUGGUUAACUCAUCCCAGAACACCCCCUGAAUCCUUGCCAGAGCUAAGCCCACAGUGAUGUUCCUUCUAUUCCUCCUAGGAACCAAGAGGUGGAGACCCGUAUAGUUUCGACUGUGUGCCAUGCACAGAUCAUGUCCUGCCAAAUACCAUGAUGUCCACUUGGAGGUGGUGGGACAUUUAAUGGUGGUCUCCAUUAUAGCAGAGGAAUCUAUAGAUUUUGUAGGUUAAUGGGAAUUGCUAGGUUUUCCAAAAUGACAAAUAGGAACACGAGAAAACCAAUUUACUCAGCCGCUAAUCUUGAGUGUCCUUUAUAACUACAUUUUCAGGAGAAAGCAAGGAAAUUUUUCUUUCUGUCAUUCACUUUAUUCAUGUAUACCAUAUAUAGGAAAAUACAUGAAUCACAAAUGUACAGCUGGAUGAAUUUUUGCAAAGUGAACACACUAGUUUAAUCAGUACCCAGAUUAAGAAGCAAAAAUUAUCAGCAUCCAGUCCUCUCAUGUCCCCACCUGCUUACCACUCCCCAUAGUGUAACCACUAUUCUGAAUUCUAACAACAUUGAUUAGUUUUGCCUGUUUCAGAAUUUCAUUUAAAUAAAGUAUAUUAUGAUAUAAUAUAAUAAUAUAUU